UACAGAGGUCUCAAGCGUUGUUCGGAUUCAUUGGGCGUAAAGGGUGCGUAGGCGGCGCGGUAAGUCGGGUAUGUGAAAUCUCGGAGCUUAACUCCGAAACUGCAUUCGAUACUGCCGUGCUUGAGGACUGGAGAGGAGACUGGAAUUUACGGUGUAGCGGUGAAAUGCGUAGAUAUCGUAAGGAAGACCAGUGGCGAAGGCGGGUCUCUGGACAGUUCCUGACGCUGAGGCACGAAGGCCAGGGGAGCAAACGGG
rnacentral:rRNA from 1 species